rnacentral:snRNA from 1 species
UAGUGUUUAAUACAUUAGUAAUUGGUGCUUGGAAUGAUACAGAGAUGAUUAGCACAGCCCUUCGCAAGGAUGCCAUGCAAACUUGUGAAGCUUUCCAUAUUUUU